ensembl:lncRNA
UUGAAAUCUAGCUGGGUAGAUAGCCAAUGAGCUGAGGUAAACGUCAGUAUGUAAUGGUUUUGGGUUGGACCACCAUUCCUUGUUUGUAAUCGCACGCGUAACGAACUCCAUUCUCGCCUUGAUGAUCAGAGGAGUUGCUGUGAGGCUUGUUACGCGCAGCAGUAUUUUGGAAAGUUGUAUUUUCAACGAUUUUAUUGAAGAUAUCAUGGCGUAUACAUAAGGAAAAGCAAAGUCAAAGUCUAAUGUGAAAGUGAAAAAGUGAAAGUGAGACAGAUUUUUUGUUUGAGGAAUCUUUGAGUGUUAUGAUUCAAACAGGAACUGAGGAGCUGUUUCUGCAAGGACAGGACGUACUUCUGGACGCUGAUAGCGACUCCGACUGGGAGCCCCCGGUGCCAAGCUGCCCGCUCUACCUCUGCCCCCAGUGGUGUUCAUAUGCCACAGUUCAUUACUGCAGGCAUGACUGUGCCUCAGGGCCAAAAGGGCACAGCAUGGAGGCGGUGUUGUGUUCUGUGUCGCAUGAAAUGCACCACUUGUUCAGUUUGCCUCUGCUUUACAUCCGAAAGAGACUGCUAUGGGACAUAGCAUGAGCUCCUGAGUUGGGCUCCUGAGUUGGGAAAACGUUGUGCUAUACACCGACGCAUGUCUUGUAUUCAAGAUCCUAAAUGGCCUGGCUCCCCCUCCACUCAGUAUUUUUGUUAAACAGAAAACUUGUCACGCCCUGACUUUAGAGAGCUUUUUACAUCUCUAUUUUGGUUUGGUCAGGGUGUGAUUUGGGUGGGUAUUCUAUGUUCGUUUUUCUAUGUUUUGUAUUUCUUUGUUUUGGCCGGGUAUGGUUCUCAAUCAGGGACAGCUGACUAUCAUUGUCUCUGAUUGGGAACCAUACUUAGGUAGCUUUUUCCCACAUGUGCUUUGUGGGUAGUUGUUUUCUGUUUAGCAUUUUCUGCACCUGACAGGACUGUUUCGGUUUCAUUUCACACUUUGUUCUUUUUGUUUCAGUGUUCAGUUAAAUAAAAAUUCAUGAACGCUUUGGUCCGAUUCCUCCUCUUCAGACUACGACACCCAUUACAAAACCCAAACAUAUGGCAGCAGAUCCACAAGGUCUGCCAUGAGAGGUGACUGUAUAGUUCCCUUAAGUAAAAGCACCUUUAGUAAAUCCACUUUCUCUGUGAGAGCUUCCCAUGUCUGGAAUACACUGCCAUCAGACACACAUAACUGCACCACCUAUCACACUUUCACAAAAUGCAUGAAGACAUGGCUAAAGGUCAAUCAGAUUUGUGAACAUAAUCCCUAGCUGUGUAUUUCCACUUUCCAUGUUGUCUGUAGCUUGUGAGGUGUGGAAACACUUAGUUGCUUUUAUGAAUUUUGUCUUGCUGCUUUUUGUCUGUAUGCUAUGUCUUGCUUGUCCUAUGUUGCUCUGCGUGUGCUCACUGCUCAAUGAUUGUCUAUAUUGUAAUUGUUUUUAAUAACCUGCCCAGGGACUGCGGUUGAAAAUUAGCCGGCUGGCUAAACCCAGCACUUUUACUGAAACGUUGAUUAAUGUGCACUGUCCCUGUACAAAUAAAAUAAACGCAGACACAAACUAAUCCUAGUACAAAUUCCCUGUCUUAGGUCAGUUAGGA